rnacentral:rRNA from 1 species
AUUGAACGCUGGCGGCAUGCCUUACACAUGCAAGUCGAACGGCAGCACGGGGCAACCUGGUGGCGAGUGGCGAACGGGUGAGUAAUGCAUCGGAACGUGGCCAUUGAGUGGGGGAUAACGUAGCGAAAGUUGCGCUAAUACCGCAUAUUCUGUGAGCAGGAAAGCAGGGGACCGCAAGGCCUUGCGCUCUUUGAGCGGCCGAUGUCAGAUUAGCUAGUUGGUGAGGUAACGGCUUACCAAGGCGACGAUCUGUAGCGGGUCUGAGAGGAUGAUCCGCCACACUGGAACUGAGACACGGUCCAGACUCCUACGGGAGGCAGCAGUGGGGAAUUUUGGACAAUGGGCGCAAGCCUGAUCCAGCCAUGCCGCGUGAGUGAAGAAGGCCUUCGGGUU